UAACACGUGGGUGAUCUGCCUCGUACUCUGGGAUAAGCCUGGGAAACUGGGUCUAAUACCGGAUAUGACCACGAAUCGCAUGGUUUGUGGUGGAAAGAUUUAUCGGUGCGAGAUGGGCCCGCGGCCUAUCAGCUUGUUGGUGGGGUAAUGGCCUACCAAGGCGACGACGGGUAGCCGACCUGAGAGGGUGACCGGCCACACUGGGACUGAGACACGGCCCAGACUCCUACGGGAGGCAGCAGUGGGGAAUAUUGCACAAUGGGCGAAAGCCUGAUGCAGCGACGCCGCGUGAGGGAUGACGGCCUUCGGGUUGUAAACCUCUUUCGACAGGGACGAAGCGCAAGUGACGGUACCUGUAGAAGAAGCACCGGCCAACUACGUGCCAGCAGCCGCGGUAAUACGUAGGGUGCGAGCGUUGUCCGGAAUUACUGGGCGUAAAGAGCUUGUAGGCGGUUCGUCGCGUCGAUUGUGAAAACUUGCAGCUCAACUGCAAGCUUGCAGUCGAUACGGGCGGACUAGAGUACUUCAG
rnacentral:rRNA from 1 species